GAGAAUUUCUUCUAUACAUCAAAGGUUUUAUGAUCUAUCUUGUUUACAGAUUACAGUUUUAUGUUUCUUGAUGUUGUGUAGGUUUCAUAUUGGAAUAAAAAAAAAUGUUGCUAAUAGUCUCAUUUUUUUUAAUAUCAUAGUAACUGUGCUUAAUGCAUUGAUUCAAUGUUUCUGAGCCCUCUUGUUUUCUCUUUUGGCUGUCCCCUUUGAUCAAUUAGUUCUUUGGAUUGGGUCCAAGUG
rnacentral:misc_RNA from 1 species